GCCGGGCACAGUGACACAUGCCUGUAAUCCCAGCAUUUGGGAGGCUGAGGCAGGAGGAUCACAAGUUCAAAGCCAGCCUCAGCAAGGGCGAAGCUCUAAGCAACUCUGUCUCUAAACUCUGUGAGACCUUGUCUCUA
rnacentral:sRNA from 1 species